UUCAGUUCAAUGCUCUUAUAGUGAAUUCAAUACUGCAGCUCUUAAUGAACCCCUUAUCGUUUUAACACUGUAGGUUCUCCGCUAUUUGUUUUAAAGCACGUAAACAGGAAAUGAGUCAAGCACUUAGGAAUGAAAUAAACAACUACAAAAGAUAGAAUAUUAGUGUAACACUGUAACAUUUUUACACAAAUUUGAGUAGUAUACAAACGGUAGCUUAUAGCCUAUAUUAUAACCAUUCUAACCAUAAAUUGAGCACUGUUCCUUAUGCUAAAUCAGGUUUAUAGUUACAGAGAACGCUUUAAAAUAUAGUGUGGUUAGUAGUAGUAGUAGUAGUAGUAGUAAUAAUAAUAAUAAUAAUUAUAACAGAAAUUAUUAUUAUUAUUAUUAUUAUUAUUAUUAUUACUACUACUACUACUACUAGUAUUGGUGUUGUUUUUCAUCAUCAUAAUCAUUAUUAUUAUUAUUAUUAUUAUUAUUAUUAGUAGUAGUAGUAGUAGUAGUAGUAGUAGUGGUAUUGGAGUUGUUUUUCAUCAUCAUCACAUCAUCAUCAUCAUCAUCAUCGUUAUUAUUAUUAUUAGUAGUAGUAUUGGUGUUUUCAUCACCAUCAUUAUUAUUAUUAUUAUUAUUAUUAUUAUUACUAUUAGUGGUAGUAGUAGUAGUAGUAGUAGUAGUAUUGGCGUUGUUUUUCAUUAUUAUUAUUAUUAUUAUUAUUAUUAAUUAUUAUUACACAAACGCCUAUAACUUGUGCUCCAUAUUGUUAUAUUUUCUAGCUAUAUCAUGAUGAAAUGUUUGACACCUAAAGAACACAUAUUUUAAAAAACAAAACUACUCUAAAUGAUAUCCCCUUAAAUCACCUCUAUUAUGUUUUUUAUUUUUUAUUUUGUAUUUUUUUAGUCAUUAGGUAUAUUUAUUCACUGUGUCCCUGUUAAGCGUGUAUACAGUUGUGUCCAGUAGUUUGAGGACUAACAGUCUGAUCUGUGGGUGGCGCUGUUGAAUCUGCUUUUUGAUUUCGUCUUUUCCUGUGCGACUCCACACAGUGUUGAACUACAGCAGCACCGCCGCCUCACUACCGCGCUAUAGCCGCACGCGCCACCUAACACUUCAAUACCCAUAGAUCACCGCGAACAAGCCGGCGUGACGUUCAAACUACUCACCCGGAAAGUUGAAUAGCUGUGCGAUAAGAAGCGAGCGUGAGAGUAAACGCCGACGGGACUAUUGUCUAAUACACACAGAGAGAUGAGCAACAGUGCUGCGAGCCCCAUGGCAGCCAGCAGCACCUCACUGGCAGCGAGAGGAUCCGGAAAACCCAUCAGCUUCAUCCCAGAGCUGCAGAGCAUGAUGUUCGCACUGGGUGAUUCUCGGAGACCCCUGCACGAAACCGCCGCUCUCGUUGAAGACAUAGUGCACACGCAACUCAUCAACAUGCUCCACCAGGCAGCCGAGGUGGCUCUCCUCCGAGGAGCCAGGGUCAUAUCGCCAGAGGAUAUCAUCUUCCUUAUGAGGAAAGACAAGAAGAAAUUGCGAAGACUGCUUAAGUACAUGCAGUUUCGAGAUUACAAAUCCAAACUGAUGAAAACCCUUGACGAUGAAGAGCCAUUGGACUCAGACAAAUUCUCCAGCAGCAGUGCCAACAAGAGGCAGAAGCUGGCACUGGACUUCCUGGGCUCCAUCGACCAGACAGGAGAAUUCCUGACACUGCUAGAGGAUGAGGAGGUGGAUGAAGUCAAGCAGGAGAGGAUGGAGAGACUUGAAAAACAGACAAGGAAUAUGGACGCCGCGCAGUAUGCUGAUUUUUGUGAGAGCCGACAGCUCAGUUUUUCUAAGAAGCUCUCUAAAUUUCGUGAGUGGUUGGACUGUAGCAGUCUGGACCUGAAGCCCAACGGGGUCUCCAUGGAGAUCCUGUCAUAUCUGGCCUAUGAAACAGUUGCCCAGAUUGUUGAUCUUGCCCUGUUGGUUAAACAAGACAUGACCCCUAAAACAGGCGACCCGUUCAGCCAUGCCAUAUCAGCCACUUUUCUGCAAUACCACAGCUCCAGUGCUGAGGCCUCAUCUGCCAAAAGAGAGAUGGACUCUCCAGAGAACACACCUCCUUCCACCCCAAGCUCAGGUCAUCAGUCCAAACUGCACUCCAUGACCCAGGGCAAUGGCAUACUCUCUCAGGAUUCCAGCAGCAAGAGCAAACAGCGCAAGAGGAAGAAGAGCGCAGCAGCGUGUGGCGCGGAGGCUCAGAGCAGUGCCAUCCAGCCCGGCCACAUCAGAGAGGCCAUCAGGCGCUACAGCCACAAGAUUGGCCCACUCUCCCCCUUCUCAAGUGCUUACCGCCCGAGCGGCAUGACUUUCCUGGCCUGCUGAAGGGGAGUGACGGCGUAAUGGAGGGAUGCAGAAGAGGAGUGCCAUGUGUGUCGCGGAGCUUCUCUCUCACCUCAUCCGUCCAUCCUCUGCUGAAGCUGAGGCUGAGAGCAGCACUGCAUGUUCAGCUCUUUAACACUCCAGCUAGCGGUGCUCGCUUCCACUGGGAAACUGGAAAACUCACACAAGAGCAUUUAACUGGUGUCUGUUUACAUCCAGCAGCAGCAGCAGUUCUUCACGCCAUUUAAUUCUUCACAUAUUCCAGCAUAGUUCGUGUUAUAGACCAGAGACCAACAAGGCCUCGAUGAUGAAACAAAGAUAUUUAUUGUGUUAUAUUUCUGACAGUAAUCUAUCAUGAGCAGCUUUUCCCCAGGUGAUCACUCACAUCUUUCUGCUGAAGCAGAAAAAAAAAAAUCUGUUGAAGAGAACCACAGUAAAAGUACACCAUAAAAUGGUAAGUGGCACAUUCUCCUUUUUUUCCUGGCUCUUAAAGUUGAGGUUUAUCAAGCAUAUGUGGCAAAACCAAUAACAUUUUCUAAAGCAAUGCAUUUUUCCCCAAAUAUGUGCAAUGUGUCUUCCUCUCUUUUAUUUUUUUAUUUGAUGAAGUCAUCGCGCUCACUCGCUGUGUUACAGCAAAGUUCCUCAUUCCCUGUGUGUGCUGGCUGGUGAUGUGGAAGUGGAAUUAAAACUCGAGCUGUAUUCUAAGGUUUGAUUACGAUGCCCUCUGGGGGAUUGCAGCUGUCAUGCUUAGAACAUUUUGUAGAGAAUUGAUGGAAAGGUGUGGACGGUGCAUGGCAUGAGGAUGAGCUUCUGCUGCUAUAGGUUCAUAUUUAACAGGUUUGUCCAGUAAAUAUAAACCUAGAGCUACAGACUCUCAUCCUUGUCCCAUGGACAGUCCAUAUGUUUCUGUCAGUACCUUAUAAAGUGCUCUUUAGUACACUCUGCUAUUUCAAGCUGUUAUCAGUUUACACAGUGUGUAUCAUGCAUGACUAGGCAGAAUCCUGGCUUUCCCUCAAGGGAGCUUAAGUGAGAUUUACGAGUGCUUAAGUGAUCUGUCAGCUCACCUUCUUAUUUCCUUUUAUUGUUCUGUGCUAACUCUGUUCCUCAAACCCCAGCAAGGAUGUUUUUUUUUAUUAUUAUUUCUUCAUUUUUUACAUGCUUAAUGUUUCUUCUUUAAUUGGCAAUUUUUUUUGUAAUUAUCCAUAACAGUGAUGUGAAUGAAAUACAACCUUGACAUGGAAAACUAAACCUGUGUGUGUGUGUUUGUGUGCGUGUGCGAGAGAGACAGACGGACACGGUGCACGCGACCUGUCCUGCCCUGGUGUUCGUGGCUCGGUGCACAUGAGGUUUGGCUCAAUAUCUCCAGCUCUGCUGCCACACUCGACACGUGCUUUAUGAGCCUCAGCUCAGGGAUCCGCACCACAAUCCCGCUGUGUCACAGUCUAUGUGCUUUCAUGGCCAGCACACAGGCCUUGUCAGGUCAUCACGGCCAUGAGUUAUAGCACACUGCUGCUGGCAGGAAAGACUAUCUUCUCAGUUAUCUGUAAAAGCAAUGAGCUGCUCUGAUACUCCUUCCAGCUCACUGUGGAACUGAUGUCCUUGACAGAAAAAUCACAUGAACUUUACAUGUGAUAUUUACACAUGUAAUUUAUAGACACGUUAUGUUUUAGUACUUUAGAAGUACUGCAUGUGUUUUUAUUCUCAUAAGUUUUAUACGCAAUUUAUUUUUUAGAUUUUACGUGAUUUGUUCAUUUUUUUUUUACAUCAUUCUUAUUUUCACAUAUAUUUUUACACAAUUUGUUUUAUGAUUUUUUGACAAGAUUCAUUUGCACAUUUUUUCAUGUGCUUUUUAAGCAUGAUUUUUCCUAUUUCAGAUUUCCUUUUUUUUUUUUUUUACAUGAUUCACUCAUUACACUUAUUUUUUUCCACAAUUAAUCUAUUUCAACAUUUUUUUUACACUAUAUUUAUUUUUCCAUAUGCUUUUUACACAAUUUGUUUUUCAUAUGAUUUUUAUGGACCAUUCAUUAAAAUUUAUUUUCCCAUAUUUUCCACAUGACUCAAUCAUUGUCGUGAUUUUUUAUUUUUUAAUAUUUUUUUUUUUACCUUUUAAUUCUUUUGCUUUCAGGUGAUUUUUUUUUUUUUACACGAUUGAUUCCUUUUCCACAUUAUAUUUUUUACAUGAUUCAUAUCACGUGAUUCACACACACAAUCCAUUCAUUUUCAUGAGCAGUUUUACACGUGCUCUUUCAGGGAACACGUGGUAAAAUGAUAACAUAUUAUUCACAUAAUCAUGUGAAAUGUAUUUAUGUCCUUGACAUUACAGAGAGAUUUUGUAUGAAAAAUUGUAUCUUAGCAGUGAGUUGACAAUUGUUUAAUUCAGUUUUCCAUUAAAGAAAAAAAAAAAUGAAAGAAGACAGGUAAAUUAAGAAGUAUAAACAUUCUGGCGUAAUUUUUUCCCCCUGUAGGAUUUCCCUUCUCAUGACUGCGUAAACUUUACACGGUUUAGAUUUAACACUAAAAUCCAUCCUGCCUGCUCAUGCGUGUAUGCCUGUAAUAGUGAGUCAAAUCAAUACAAGACGUGAAACGUGUUUUUGAAUAUGAAAUC